UACGAAGGGGGCUAGCGUUGUUCGGAUUUACUGGGCGUAAAACGCACGUAGGCGGAUCGAUCAGUCAGGGGUGAAAUCCCAGAGCUCAACUCUGGAACUGCCUUUGAUACUGUCGAUCUGGAGUAUGGAAGAGGUGAGUGGAAUUCCGAGUGUAGAGGUGAAAUUCGUAGAUAUUCGGAGGAACACCAGUGGCGAACGCGGCUCACUGGUCCAUUACUGACGCUGAGGUGCGAAAGCGUGGGGAGCAAACAGG
rnacentral:rRNA from 1 species